GGGGAUGUGACUUAACUGGUAGAGUGCCUGCCCACCAUGCACAAGGCCCUGGGUUCAAGUCCUAGCACCAUCU
rnacentral:tRNA from 1 species